UACGUAGGCAGCGAGCGUUGUUCGGAUUUACUGGGCGUAAAGGGUGUGUAGGCGGUUAUUUAAGUUUGGUGUGAAAUCUCCCGGCUCAACCGGGAGGGUGCGCCGAAUACUGAAUGACUUGGAGUGCGGGAGAGGUGAGUGGAAUUCCUGGUGUAGCGGUGAAAUGCGUAGAUAUCAGGAGGAACACCGGUGGUGUAGACGGCUCACUGGACCGUAACUGACGCUGAGACACGAAAGCGUGGGUAGCAAACAGG
rnacentral:rRNA from 1 species